CCUACGGGUGACAGCAGUGAGGAAUAUUGGUCAAUGGGCGCGAGCCUGAACCAGCCAAGUCGCGUGAGGGAAGACGGCCCUACGGGUUGUAAACCUCUUUUGCCGGGGAGCAACGGGCGCCACGUGUGGCGCCACUGAGAGUACCCGGAGAAACAGCAUCGGCUAACUCCGUGCCAGCAGCCGCGGUAAUACGGGGGAUGCGAGCGUUAUCCGGAUUUAUUGGGGUAAAAGGCUGCGUAGGCGGAGCGUUAAGUCAGUGGUCAAAUUGGGGGGCUAACCCCCUUCCCGCCAUUGAAACUGGCGCUCUUGAGUGGAAGAGAGGUAGGCGGAAUGCGUGGUGUAGCGGUGAAAUGCAUAGAUAUCACGCAGAACACCGAUGGCGAAGGCAGCAUGCCGGCUUCCGACUGACGCUGAAGCACGAAAGCGUGGGGAUCGAACAGGAUUAGAUACCCUAGUAGUC
rnacentral:rRNA from 1 species